CCCUCCACUAUCUCCAAGUCCGCUAUAUAAGCCCCUCUCCAGUCACGGAGCCUCCAAGGGCUGUUUUAUCGCUGGAGGAGCACUACAGGGACGGCCAGGGUCUGCAGAACAAGAAACAAGAUGGAUGUUAGCAGCAAGGAGGCUCUGAUAGAGGCCCCUCCGGACUACUCUUCUGUGCCCAGGAUCCCCUGCCUCUCCCCUCACCUCAAGAGACUCUUGAUCAUCUUGGUGGUGGUUGUGAUCAUAGUCUUGGUUGUGCUGGGUUUCCUCCUGAUGGGACUGCACAUAUCUGAGAAGCACACGGAAACUGUUUUGCGAAUGACUAUCCAUGGCCUGGAUGGGGAAGGGUCCCCGCAGCAGCUCUCUAUGAGUGGGAAAGAAAGGACAGGGACUUUCCACAUCAAGGCAGGGAUCAAUUCUUCAGCCACUGUUGUGUACGACUACCCCCACCUGCUGAUCUGCUACAAAUCCUGGCAAGGCCAAGCCUGCUACAUCACCAAGAUGGACAAGGAGAACAUUCAGGGCCUGGAUACCAUUGCCAAGGCGUUCCAGCAUCUCCAGCUUAAACAAGGUGAAGAGAUGGAGGAAGGGGGGUUCCCUGUGCCCCAGGCCAAUCGCUCCAUCCUGGGCACUACAGUUAACAUCCUCUGUAGCAACGUUCCCAUCUACUGGGCUUAGCAAGGGCUCAGGGCCCCGUGCAGUCUGAGCUCCGCAUCCCGGCAGUCACUUCCCAAUGAGAUGGGCAUGGCGCCCUUGUAUCCACAGCACUGGGGCUUCUCUCCUACAAUGAUGACUAUAUUCCGUAUGCAAUCAUCGCAUAGCUGAGCCUAGGCUCAGGCCGUGGGCCAGUGGGUGGGUGGCUGCAUGAUCUCCAGCUGUUGCAAAGCUUUUGUUCUGUUGCCAUUCAAAGCAGCUGGGAAUUUUCAGGUGGCACUUGCAAUAAAACAAGAGAGAUCGGAAGAGCUGUGCCAAUGGGAAGAGGAGUCAGAGGGACUCUGCUAUAAAUAAAUAUACAUGGGCUGAUCUGUUUGCAUUGGAUGCAGCGGGCAUUUGCAAGGGACACUAUAGAAUGAGAGGACUGCUUGCCAUUCUUUUUAGAGAAUAAAAUCUACAGUCCCUCACCAACCCCUCUUAUUUCUCCUUCUGGGUAAUGAGGUACUGUGUCUUCACUUUACAUGACCUCACAGCCUGGUGGGCUAGCACAAUGUGGCCAGAGUAAUGACAGCAGGCACAACUCAUGAGACUAAGGGCUUGUCUACAUAGAGUGUUAGUCCAGAAUAGCUAUUCCUGAUUAACUCAAGCUGUGGAUGCUCUUAUUCCAGCAUAAAAGUGCCUGAGUCCAAAUUAGCUUAAUCCACUUUAUGUGCCUUUGGGCAAUUACAAUGCACCUGGCUCUAUAUAGGAGUCACUUUGUGAACUAAAUGAAUUUGGACUUUUUAAAAAACUACUGUGUCAUGUUGUUCUCCACUGCUAAUUAGUGGAGUUUGUUAGAAAAAAACAAUUGUCAGAAUUUGCUGUUUUGUUGAAAUUGGAACAUUCUACAGGACUGUGUCAAUUCUGACAAAAUCCCAACAGAAACCAAGCAUGUUUCCAAUGGAACUUUGCCUGCCAGACAGGAUUUUGUGAAAAACCUGCCCGGCUCCUUGGCAGACCAUCUAGCAGCAUGCAGUGAACCCAGGCUCCCAGCUCCUCAGCUGCCUGCCUGGUGGGCUGAUGGGAAGCCGGGAGCCUGGAAGUUGCAGGAACUCCAACUCCCAGGCUUGUGACUCCUCACCAGGCAGGACUGUUAGGGUUCCUGGAUCCUCCACCACCCACCAGGUUGUACUACUAUGGAGCUAGGGCUUCAAAGGCUCCCAGGUUCCCCAGCUCUGGGGCAGCCCAUCAGGCUGCGUUAGAGCUCGGUGGAGAUCAGUAAUUCACAGAGAAUUUAAAAAAUGUUGGUUAUCGUUCCGAACCAGAAUUAAACCUGAAAUAGCAAAAUCCUCUGCAAAAUAGAAUUACCGUUCCCCAACCAGCUCUGUUUUACUGUCAUGUUUCACCCUAGAGGUAAAUGUACAGGAGUUGCUAACAAAAAUACUAAUUAAUGCCAAAUUCAAUGAUGGCUUCUGUGAUCUGGACACCUGUCCAUGAGGAACUGGACUAGGACCUUCUAAUUCAUUUCACAAAGGUCACCUGUCAUUUUGAUCUUUUAGCACUCAAGGGAGAAAAGCAAAAUGUAUUUGAGCCUGGUUGCAAUUCAAAUGUAAAUAGCUAUUAUUUACUUUGGACCAAAAAACAUCCUUGAAGAAGCCUUAACGUGGCUUAGAUUGUGCAACACGCAGUAUGCACUGUGAUAAGUGUCUUUAUUUCCUUCUCCUUGUCAGGUUGUUACCUUGAUCAACAUACCCAGGAAAGAUGCAUAAGUAAAUCAGGGCUGUGGAAGUGAUCCCUUGGGUUAGGUUGGAAGGGAACAAAAGAGAAUUGAGAGGAUUGACAUUUGGACAGAAUAAGAAAUCAGGUCCUUCUAAUAUCAUGCAAUUUUAAUAGUGAAGCUAGCAUAAUAAAUCCAUUAUUAACUAUAAAUCCAUUAUUAUAAAUCCAUAAAUCCAGUAUUAACUACCAGCAGGACAAAUAAAUUACACUAUCAGCCCAUUAUCUACAGUUCAAACUGAAUGCUGCUUGGUAAUAUAAUUGCAGAGUAGGUGACCUAAACAUGACAGGCAUUCUGAGAUGAGUUGAAGGAAUUCAAAACAGCACCUGUGGCUGUGUACUCAGCUGCUGUUUUCUAACCCUAUUUUCCACUUGAAUGUGAUUUUUUUAAAACAAAUCUACAUAUGUCCUCUGUAAACACUUAUUCCCUGCUAUGUAUUGGGAUUAUUAUGAUAUUUUCUGUUAUCAUUAAAGAUGCACCCCCCACUCCCCCACCAUUUACUCUAUUUCUUAAGGGGGAAUAAAGAACAGAAUUUCCAUUUAACUCAAGUAUGGUUUAAAAUUAAAGAUAUUGGAUUAUGACAUUUUGUCUCUUGUAGAUAUAAUUGUAAAACUGAAAGCUCUUUAUUUUUGUGUGCUAUAAAACACAUCCAUAUAAUUAAAUCAAGGUUGAAAGUC